CGUCGGGCCAUGCCCCGACCGCGGACGCUUGCGCGCGGAUCCAGUGAGAAGAGCAGGGCUAGUCGUCACCGUGCACCCGCUCUGUCGUUGCCGUGCUCACGAGGACCAAUCGAAGGACGCCGCCACGACGGAUCUGGUCCCCACUCUCCACCAUCAUCGGUGUCCGUGUGUGGACCCCAUCCGUCUUCCUUCGCGAGCGUUGGCCACGGCUGUGCCAUCACUUUGAUGAGCAGUGGAUGUGCGACGGGGGAGCAGGGGAGACGACGCGGCCGAGGAGAAGAUGGGCGGGAUGGAGGAGGACCAGAGCCUGUGCAUCGUCAUUGACAUCGUCGAGGAAGAAGCCAUAUCACGUCUCAUAGGAAUUUUCUCGAUCACGGCAAUUAUUAGCGGAGCAUAGUAUGAUUUCAAAGAGAUGAUCACGACAAUAAUGGCACACAGGGUAAUCAAGGGACGGCACCGCAUCGUCUGCUCUCCCUUGUGGUUUAAAUACCGGAGGAAUGGGAGGAGGCGUCUUGCUCUCCCUGUUCGUUCCCGCUGCUGCCGGCGGCGAGAGCUUCCUGCUCAGAAAGCUUGUGAUGGCCGCAGAGGGUGGCAAGGACCGCCUCGGUGACCUCACUAACAACCUCCUCCGGCAUGUGUUGUCCCUUCUUUCGCCCGAAGAUGCCCUGAAGACUUGUGUGCUAGACACCAGGUGGCGCGAAUUAUGUAGGCGCACCACUAGCCCGCACUCCGUCAGUCUCAAGCGUUGGCUGUAGAAGUUCUCCGCCAACCUGGCGUGUGUGUCUGUGCUGGUCGGUCUCAAGCGUUGGUUGUAGAAGUUCUCUGGCUGUAGAAGUUCUCCGCCAACCUGGCGUGUGUGUCUGUGCUGGUCGGUCUCAAGCGUUGGUUGUAGAAGUUCUC
rnacentral:rRNA from 1 species